UACGUAGGGUGCGAGCGUUUAAUCGGAAUUACUGGGCGUAAAGUGUGCGCAGGCGGCAAAGCAAGUCGAACGUGAAAUCCCCGGGCUCAACCCGGGAACUGCGUCCGAUACUGGCAGGCUUGAAUCCGGGAGAGGGAUGUGGAAUUCCAGGUGUAGCGGUGAAAUGCGUAGAUAUCUGGAGGAACACCGGUGGCGAAGGCGGCAUUCUGGACCGACAUUGACGCUGAGGAGCGAAAGCCAGGGGAGCAAACGGG
rnacentral:rRNA from 1 species